rnacentral:rRNA from 1 species
AUUGAACGCUGGCGGCAUGCCUUACACAUGCAAGUCGAACGGUAACAGGUUAAGCUGACGAGUGGCGAACGGGUGAGUAAUGUAUCGGAACGUGCCCAGUCGCGGGGGAUAACUGCUCGAAAGAGCAGCUAAUACCGCAUACGACCUGAGGGUGAAAGCGGGGGAUCGCAAGACCUCGCGCGAUUGGAGCGGCCGAUAUCAGAUUAGGUAGUUGGUGAGGUAAAGGCUCACCAAGCCGACGAUCUGUAGCUGGUCUGAGAGGACGACCAGCCACACUGGGACUGAGACACGGCCCAGACUCCUACGGGAGGCAGCAGUGGGGAAUUUUGGACAAUGGGCGCAAGCCUGAUCCAGCCAUGCCGCGUGCGGGAAGAAGGCCUUCGGGUUGUAAACCGCUUUUGUCAGGGAAGAAAAGGUUCUGGCUAAUACCUGGGACUCAUGACGGUACCUGAAGAAUAAGCACCGGCUAACUACGUG